GGGUUGUGAGGUUAAGCGAAUAAGCGUACACGGUGGAUGCCUAGGCAAUCAGAGGCGAUGAAGGACGUGCUAAUCUGCGAUAAGCGUCGGUAAGGUGAUAUGAACCGUUAUACCCGACGAUUUCCGAAUGGGGAAACCCAAUAUCCAAUGGAUAUUAUCAUGACGUGAAUACAUAGCGUCAUGAAGCGAACCGGGAGAACUGAAACAUCUCAGUACCCCGAGGAAAAGAAAUCAACCGAGAUUCCCCUAGUAGCGGCGAGCGAACGGGGAACAGCCCAGAGUCUUAAUCAAUAGCAGCAUCAGGAGAACGGUCUGGAAAGUCCGGCAGUAAAGGGUGAUAGCCCCGUAUCCGAAGAUGCUGUUAUUGUGAACUCGACGAGUAGGGCGGGACACGUGUUAUCCUGUCUGAAUAUGGGGGACCAUCCUCCAAGGCUAAAUACUCCUGAUUGACCGAUAGUGAACCAGUACCGUGAGGGAAAGGCGAAAAGAACCCCGGCGAGGGGAGUGAAAAAGAACCUGAAACCGUGUACGUACAAGCAGUAGGAGCCUCUUUAUGGGGUGACUGCGUACCUUUUGUAUAAUGGGUCAGCGACUUAUAUUCUGUAGCAAGGUUAACCGUAUAGGGGAGCCGUAGGGAAACCGAGUCUUAACUGGGCGAAUGAGUUGCAGGGUAUAGACCCGAAACCCGGUGAUCUAUCCAUGGGCAGGUUGAAGGUUGGGUAACACUAACUGGAGGACCGAACCGACUAAUGUUGAAAAAUUAGCGGAUGACUUGUGGAUGGGGGUGAAAGGCCAAUCAAACCGGGAGAUAGCUGGUUCUCCCCGAAAGCUAUUUAGGUAGCGCCUCGUGAACUCAUCUUCGGGGGUAGAGCACUGUUUCGACUAGGGGGUCAUCCCGACUUACCAACUCGAUGCAAACUGCGAAUACCGAAGAAUGUUAUCACGGGAGACACACGGCGGGUGCUAACGUCCGUCGUGAAGAGGGAAACAACCCAGACCGCCAGCUAAGGUCCCAAAGUCAUGGUUAAGUGGGAAACGAAGUGGGAAGGCUCAGACAGCCAGGAUGUUGGCUUAGAAGCAGCCAUCAUUUAAAGAAAGCGUAAUAGCUCACUGGUCGAGUCGGCCCGCGCGGAAGAUGUAACGGGGCUAAACCAUGCACCGAAGCUGCGGCAGCGACACUAUGUGUUGUUGGGUAGGGGAGCGUUCUGUAAGCCUGCGAAGGUGUACUGUGAGGUAUGCUGGAGGUAUCAGAAGUGCGAAUGCUGACAUAAGUAACGAUAAUGCGGGUGAAAAACCCGCACGCCGGAAGACCAAGGGUUCCUGUCCAACGUUAAUCGGGGCAGGGUGAGUCGACCCCUAAGGCGAGGCUGAAAAGCGUAGUCGAUGGGAAACGGGUUAAUAUUCCCGUACUGGUGGUAACUGCGAUGGGGGAACGGAGAAGGCUAGGUUGUCCGGGCGACGGUCGUCCCGGUUCAAGCAUGUAGGCAGAGUGAUUAGGCAAAUCCGGUCACUUAAUGCUGAGGUGUGAUGACGAACCACUAAGGUGGUGAAGCAAUUGAUGCCCUGCUUCCAGGAAAAGCCUCUAAGCUUCAGGUUACCAACAAUCGUACCCCAAACCGACACAGGUGGUCAGGUAGAGAAUACUCAGGCGCUUGAGAGAACUCGGGUGAAGGAACUAGGCAAAAUGGUGCCGUAACUUCGGGAGAAGGCACGCUGGCGGUAAGUGAAGUCCCUCGCGGACGGAGCCGAAGCCAGUCGAAGAUACCAGCUGGCUGCAACUGUUUAUUAAAAACACAGCACUGUGCAAACACGAAAGUGGACGUAUACGGUGUGACGCCUGCCCGGUGCUGGAAGGUUAAUUGAUGGGGUUAUCCUUAGGGAGAAGCUCUUGAUCGAAGCCCCAGUAAACGGCGGCCGUAACUAUAACGGUCCUAAGGUAGCGAAAUUCCUUGUCGGGUAAGUUCCGACCUGCACGAAUGGCGUAAUGAUGGCCAGGCUGUCUCCACCCGAGACUCAGUGAAAUUGAACUCGCUGUGAAGAUGCAGUGUACCCGCGGCAAGACGGAAAGACCCCGUGAACCUUUACUAUAGCUUGACACUGAACAUUGAGCCUUGAUGUGUAGGAUAGGUGGGAGACUAUGAAGUGUGGACGCCAGUCUGCAUGGAGUCAACCUUGAAAUACCACCCUUUAACGUUUGAUGUUCUAACCUAGGCCCGUAAUCCGGGUCGGGGACCGUGUCUGGUGGGUAGUUUGACUGGGGCGGUCUCCUCCUAAAGAGUAACGGAGGAGCACGAAGGUUGGCUAAGCAUGGUCGGACAUCAUGCGGUUAGUGCAAAGGCAUAAGCCAGCUUGACUGUGAGAGUGACGGCUCGAGCAGGUACGAAAGUAGGUCUUAGUGAUCCGGUGGUUCUGAAUGGAAGGGCCAUCGCUCAACGGAUAAAAGGUACUCCGGGGAUAACAGGCUGAUACCGCCCAAGAGUUCAUAUCGACGGCGGUGUUUGGCACCUCGAUGUCGGCUCAUCACAUCCUGGGGCUGAAGUAGGUCCCAAGGGUAUGGCUGUUCGCCAUUUAAAGUGGUACGCGAGCUGGGUUUAGAACGUCGUGAGACAGUUCGGUCCCUAUCUGCCGUGGGCGUUGGAAGAUUGAGAGGGGUUGCUCCUAGUACGAGAGGACCGGAGUGAACGCACCACUGGUGUUCGGGUUGUCAUGCCAAUGGCAUUGCCCGGUAGCUAAGUGCGGAAGAGAUAACCGCUGAAAGCAUCUAAGCGGGAAACUUGCCUCGAGAUGAGUCUUCCCUGUCACCUUGAGUGACCUAAAGGAACGUUUAAGACUAAGACGUUGAUAGGCUGGGUGUGUAAGCGUAGCGAUACGUUGAGCUAACCAGUACUAAUGAACCGUGAGGCUUAACCUGACAACACCGAAGGUGUUU
rnacentral:rRNA from 1 species